GACAAUAUGAUAUAAUGGUUUGAGUGUUGGACUAUGACUCUGGAGUCUAGGGUUCAAUUCCCUGCUUGGCCA